UGUAGGGAGAAGAAGUUUGCAGUCCCUCUCUGGUUGUUGGAGAGUGGAGGGCACGCACGCACGCACGCACGCAUGCACGCACGCACGCACGCACGCACAUAGGGAGUUUGGUCCUGGCAAAAGUGCUGAUGGAAAGCUCCAGAGACUGACCUCUGCUGAGACAUAGGAAGCAACAUUUGUGAACACAUCAUGCUAUGAUUCACCUGGCCUAGAAGUACCACCUCCUGCAGCGAGAGGCCAGUCACAUGGAGCAAAGUUUGAUGGCCUUCCACAGGAAUUGGAGAUGCUCUGCAUUUCUGGAAAGAAACAGUCCACGUAUAGGUGCUGUUAUAUAUAUGCAGGUGCCUCACACUAGGCAUCCCAGUUUGGAAAUGUUGGCCUUCCUCUUUCUGGGAUAACGCUACUCGCCUCCUUCAUCCUCGCUGGCUCAGAGACCAGUAGACUGGUAUAGUUGAACUUAAGGCUCUGCAACGCAUUUAUUUUCUGCAUCUGGUUGAUGUUGGGAGUGGCAGGAAGUGCCGCACUCCACUCCGCUCAGUGCUCCCCAGCAGGGAUCGCCCCAAGCAGUUGCCGCUACAACAGCUGCCGCCCAAAAGCCGCUGUGCCGGGAAGAACGGCAGAGCUGCCGCCGUGGGACACAGACUGCCGCCCCCUUCUGAAUGUUGCCCCAAGCACCUGCUUGGAAAGCUGGAGCCUGCCCUGCUCCCCAGCAAUCUCUCUAACACCAAAAUGACAUGACUUGAAAGUCGUCAUGCUUAACAUGGGCUGCAGCAGUACCAGGGCAAUUCCAGGGGCUUCUCGUUGUUCAAAGUCCUCUCCUCGCUCAAAUCUAGGCUUCAGCGACAAGUCAGUUUCAGACUGCGUGCCUGCUGUACUUGAACCAUUUGCCUCCCGAUCCAGAUUUUAGUCAAGGCUUCUGCUUCUCCAAUAAAAAACUAAGUUUAAUUUCCCAGUAUUUUCAUAUGCAGAGCCCUAAUGUGCACUGUAUCCAAUUAGCAAUGAAAGUAGCUGUAAUCAUCCCAGUAAAUCGCUUUAUUAGGGUUUGUGCUCUUUAGGCCAACAAGGUUCCCUGCUUGGAAUUUUUGCUCAUGCAGCAGCUACAAGUGAUAGUGUGUAAAACCAGAGGAGAGAAAUGAAGUUAUUAACCAGGCACACUUAUGCUCAUCUUUAUUUAUGGACUUUCCCCCACUUCCUGUGAGAGUGUGUAGUCACUCUUUCCCUACCAUAUUUGCCACUGGGGUGAAAGAUGUGCUGCUUUAC